CCGGUGCUUAUCCAAGUUUAUGAUGCACUGAAAACAGGAGAAUCACUGGUAACUUGUCAGUGAUACCACUAUGAGUUCCUGUGUAAGAGGAUACCUGCCUCAGAGAGGAAGUAUCAAGGGAUGCAGCCUGCAGAAGCCUUAGUGGCUGGCUGUCCUGUGGACUGAGUCACCCAUGGGUGGAUAGGGUGAAAAGACAGGAAUUCACACUUGCUGAGCAAGCCUCUCAGCAGACACACUUUGAAACCUGACAGAACACACAAGAAUCAUCGAUGCUGGCAUCCCCUGGACCUCAAAACACUGGUUUCUCCUGCCCUA